rfam:Picea glauca, whole genome shotgun sequence.
AUGUAAUGUAAUGCCUACAACAUUAAUGCACUAGAUCCCCUUAGAAAUCCACAAUUAAGUGCACUAGUUGGGCUAGAGUAACACUGGGAUGGGUGACCUUUCUAGAAGUCCUAGUGUUUUAUAUG